AUUGAACGCUGGCGGCAGGCCUAACACAUGCAAGUCGAGCGGAUGAGUGGAGCUUGCUCCAUGAUUCAGCGGCGGACGGGUGAGUAAUGCCUAGGAAUCUGCCUGGUAGUGGGGGACAACGUUUCGAAAGGAACGCUAAUACCGCAUACGUCCUACGGGAGAAAGUGGGGGAUCUUCGGACCUCACGCUAUCAGACGAGCCUAGGUCGGAUUAGCUAGUUGGUGAGGUAAAGGCUCACCAAGGCGACGAUCCGUAACUGGUCUGAGAGGAUGAUCAGUCACACUGGAACUGAGACACGGUCCAGACUCCUACGGGAGGCAGCAGUGGGGAAUAUUGGGCAAUGGGCGAAAGCCUGAUCCAGCCAUGCCGCGUGUGUGAAGAAGGUCUUCGGAUUGUAAAGCACUUUAAGUUGGGAGGAAGGGCAGUAAGUUAAUACCUUGCUGUUUUGACGUUACCAACAGAAUAAGCACCGGCUAACUUCGUGCCAGCAGCCGCCGUAAUAC
rnacentral:rRNA from 1 species